UGCCAUGGGUGAGAAAGAACCGAUCAUUGCUAUCUUUGUAGGAACGCUGCCAAAGGCAUCUCAUGGUGUUAGAGGGUUGAGUGGUAGUUCUGCCUGUCGUUGGUACAUUGAUGAGGACAUACCUGAUAUUAACUUGUUCCGUGAGAAGAUUGGGCCGCAGUUUGUUCCUCUAGCCACCUAUGUCCCUACAGGGCCAGGUGCCAUCGCGCCCCGAGUGUACGAGCCUCCCGCUGAGAAAACCCUCGAACAGCUGAAUGAAGUUGAUCCCUUCGUGGAUAUGG